rnacentral:lncRNA from 1 species
GGAACCAUGUUUUCCAAAAGAGCCUUUGGGCUAAGUUUUGAGUAAUUUCCUCAACUAAAGCAAGAUGUGUUUAAAGACACUUAUGAGCCAAAGUAUUUUUGGGAGUAGUAUUGAGCACCGAAUUGGGGACACGAGUUCAUAUUAACUCAACUCUCCAUAAGAACCAUGCGCCAAUAUGGGAUUUCUCGGGUCAUACUUUUUAGAUG